CCUACGGGUGGCAGCAGUGGGGAAUAUUGCACAAUGGGGGAAACCCUGAUGCAGCAACGCCGCGUGAAGGAAGACGGUUUUCGGAUUGUAAACUUCUGUUCUUAGUGAAGAAUAAUGACGGUAGCUAAGGAGCAAGCCACGGCUAACUACGUGCCAGCAGCCGCGGUAAUACGUAGGUGGCAAGCGUUGUCCGGAAUUACUGGGUGUAAAGGGUUCGUAGGUGGCACGUUAAGUCUGGUGUUAAAGGCGGAAGCUCAACUUCUGUAGGGCACUGGAUACUGGCGAGCUUGAAUGCGGUAGAGGUAAAGGGAAUUCCUGGUGUAGCGGUGAAAUGCGUAGAUAUCAGGAGGAACAUCGGUGGCGUAGGCGCUUUACUGGGCCGUAAUUGACGCUGAGGAACGAAAGCCGGGGUAGCAAAUGGGAUUAGAUACCCGGGUAGUC
rnacentral:rRNA from 1 species